CCUACGGGAGGCAGCAGUGAGGAAUUUUCCGCAAUGGGCGAAAGCCUGACGGAGCGACGCCGUGUGUGCGAUGAAGUCCUUCGGGAUGUAAAGCACUGUCAGAGGGGACGAUAAUGACGGUACCCUCAGAGGAAGGCCCGGCUAACUACGUGCCAGCAGCCGCGGUAAUACGUAGGGGCCAAGCGUUGUCCGGAAUCAUUGGGCGUAAAGGGCGUGUAGGCGGUCUGAUAAGUCAGAUGUUAAAUCUACGAGCUCAACUCGUAGCCGCAUCUGAUACUGUCAGGCUAGAGAAUGGUAGAGGAAAGCGGAACUUCCGGUGUAGCGGUGAAAUGCGUAGAUAUCGGAAGGAACACCAGUGGCGAAGGCGGCUUUCUGGGCCAUUUCUGACGCUGAGACGCGAAAGCUAGGGGAGCGAACGGGAUUAGAUCCCCCUGUAGU
rnacentral:rRNA from 1 species